rnacentral:rRNA from 1 species
GCUAAACGCGAAGAACCUUACCUGGGUUUGACAUACGCAGGACGACAUCAGAGAUGGUGUUUCCCUUGUGGUCUGUGUACAGGUGGUGCAUGGCUGUCGUCAGCUCGUGCCGUGAGAUGUUGGGUUAAGUCCCGCAACGAGCGCAACCCUUGUUCCAUGUUGCCAGCGCGUAAUGGCGGGGACUCAUGGGAGACUGCCGGGGUCAACUCGGAGGAAGGUGGGGAUGACGUCAAGUCAUCAUGCCCCUUAUGUCCAGGGCUUCACACAUGCUACAAUGGCCGGUACAAAGGGCUGCGAUGCCGUGAGGUGGAGCGAAUCCUUCAAAGCCGGUCCCAGUUCGGAUCGGGGUCUGCAACUCGA